rnacentral:miRNA from 1 species
UUCUCGUUUCACAGGGUAUUUU